rnacentral:lncRNA from 1 species
UGCAAGAUGCUGAGUCAUCUGUUUGAAGGAAGCAACCCUUCUUUGGAUACAGUGGCGGCAGUGAUCCCCAAAAUACUAACAGUGAUGAGAACCCAUGGAACGUCUCUGUCAGUCCAGCUGGAGGCACUGCGAGCUCUUCUGCAUUUUGUGGUGCCGGGAGUAUCAGAAGAUUCCAGGGAUGACUCGCGAUGCCAACCAAACGUGCUCAGAACACAGUGCUUCAGGACUGACAUCCACAAGCUGGUUCUAGCCGCUCUGAACAGGUUCAUUGGGAAUCCCGGGAUUCAGAAAUGUGGAUUGAAAGUCAUCUCUUCUUUCGCACAUCUUCCCGAUGCCUUAGAGAUGUUAUCCCUGCAUGGAGCAGUUGACUCAGUCCUCCAUACCUUACAGAUGUAUCCAGAUGACCAAGAAAUUCAGUGUCUGGGCUUACACCUUAUGGGAUGCCUGAUGACAAAGAAGAAUUUCUGCAUAGGGACAGGGCACCUCCUGGCAAAAAUUCUGGCUUCCACCUUGCAGCGAUUUAAAGAUGUUGCUGAAGUACAGACUACAGGAUUACAGACGGUCUUGUCAAUGCUUGACCUGUCCGUAUCUUUCUCCAAGCUGCUAGUGCACUAUUCAUUUGAUGUGGUGAUGUUUCAUCAGAUGUCUUCCGGUGUCCUGGAACAAAAGGAUGAGCAGUUUCUCAACUUAUGCUGCAAAUGCUUUGCAAAAGUGGCUGUGGAUGAUGAGCUGAAA